AGAGCGAACGCUGGCGGCAGGCCUAACACAUGCAAGUCGAGCGCCCGUAGCAAUACGGGAGCGGCAGGCGGGAUAGUAACACGUGGGAACGCGCCCUUCGGUUCGGAAUAACUCAGGGAAACUUGAGCUAAUACCGGAUACGCCCUUACGGGGAAAGAUUUAUUGCCGAAGGAACGGCCCGCGUCCGAUUAGCUAGUUGGUGAGGUAAUGGCUCACCAAGGCGACGAUCGGUAGCUGGUCUGAGAGGAUGACCAGCAUCACUGGGACUGAGACACGGCCCAGACUCCUACGGGAGGCAGCAGUGGGGAAUAUGGACAAUGGGCGCAAGCCUGAUCCAGCCAUGCCGCGUGGAUGAUGAAGGCCUUAGGGUUGUAAAGUCCUUUUAACGGGGAAGAUAAUGACGGUACCCGUAGAAUAAGCCCCGGCUAACGUUCGUGCCAGCAGCCGC
rnacentral:rRNA from 1 species